UACGUAGGGGGCAAGCGUUGUCCGGAAUCAUUGGGCGUAAAGAGCGUGUAGGCGGCCUGAUAAGUCGGCUGUAAAAGUCAAGGGCUCAACCCUUGAAUGCCGGCCGAUACUGUCAGGCUAGAGUCCGGAAGAGGCGAGUGGAAUUCCUGGUGUAGCGGUGAAAUGCGCAGAUAUCAGGAGGAACACCUAUGGCGAAGGCAGCUCGCUGGGACGGUACUGACGCUGAGACGCGAAAGCGUGGGGAGCGAACAGG
rnacentral:rRNA from 1 species